rnacentral:rRNA from 1 species
AAGGAACGCUGGCGGCAGGCUUAACGCAUGCAAGUCGAACGCAUCCUUCGGGGUGAGUGGCAGACGGGUGAGUAACGCGUGGGAACGUGCCCUUCAGUUCGGGAUAACCCAGGGAAACUUGGGCUAAUACCGGAUACGUGCGAGAGCAGAAAGAUUUAUCGCUGAAGGAUCGGCCCGCGUCUGAUUAGCUAGUUGGUGGGGUAAUGGCCCACCAAGGCGACGAUCAGUAGCUGGUCUGAGAGGAUGAUCAGCCACAUUGGGACUGAGACACGGCCCAAACUCCUACGGGAGGCAGCAGUGGGGAAUAUUGGACAAUGGGCGCAAGCCUGAUCCAGCCAUGCCGCGUGAGUGAUGAAGGCCUUAGGGUUGUAAAGCUCUUUCGUCCGGGACGAUAAUGACGGUACCGGAAGAAGAAGCCCCGGCUAACUUCGUGCCAGCAGCCGCGGUAAGAC